rnacentral:rRNA from 1 species
AUGCUAGCUAAGCAAUGUUGGAGGCUCAUCACUAAUCCAGAUUCCUUGGUUGCAAAAGUACUCAAAGCUAAAUACUACCCCAAUGGAACUCUUUUGGAUGCUACCCCAAAGAAUGGGUCAUCAUUUACAUGGCAAAGUAUUUUAAAGGGCCUUGAUACAUUCAAGAAAGGUUACAUAUGGAGGAUUGGUACUGGUGAGGAGGUAAAUAUAUGGAGGGAUCCUUGGAUACCUUCAAGCUCAGAUAUGAAGGUAAUUACACCGAGAGGCCAAUCAAUUAUUACAAGAGUUUGUGAACUCAUUGAUCCGGUGACCGGGGAGUGGGAUGAACAGCUAUUACAGAGCCUUUUCUACCCUGUGGAUGUUAGAAGAAUACUUCAGAUCCCGCUCAACACACACGCAUUUGAGGAUUUCAUUGCCUGGCAACCUAAUCGCACCAGAAUUUUUUCAGUGAAAACUGCGUACCAUUUGCAAUGGAUGCACACUAAUAGGGCACAUGCAAAUAUGAUGGAGAGUGCAAGUCCCACGUAUGGUGGUUCAGCGCCUUUGGCAGUGUGGAAUACACUUUGGAAAGUGCAAGUCCCACGUAGAAUUCAGAUUUUUGGGUGGAGGGUUCUGCGAGGAAUCGUUCCGCUAAAAGCAAUCCUGACAAACAGACACAUUGGUUCUAAUGGGGCGUGCCCGAUAUGCCAUCAAGGUGCUGAGGAUAUUAGGCAUCUUUUAUUUCUAUGUGUGCAUGCAAAGGAAGUGUGGAGGCGUCUUGGGAUGUUGCAACUGGUGGAAGAUGUUGUA